UACGAAGGGUGCAAGCGUUAAUCGGAAUUACUGGGCGUAAAGGGUGCGUAGGCGGUUCGUUAAGUCUGUCGUGAAAUCCCCGGGCUCAACCUGGGAAUGGCAUUGGAAACUGGCGAUCUAGAGUGCGGUAGAGGGUAGUGGAAUUCCCGGUGUAGCAGUGAAAUGCGUAGAGAUCGGGAGGAACAUCUGUGGCGAAGGCGACUGCCUGGACCAGCACUGACACUGAGGCACGAAAGCGUGGGGAGCAAACAGG
rnacentral:rRNA from 1 species